CAGAUUACCGAGAUCAAGGACUUCCUCCUGACCGCCCGUCGCAAGGACGCGCGGUCGGUGAAGAUUAAGAAGACCGGCAGCACCACCAAGUUCAAGGUCCGCUGCUCCAAGUACCUGUACACGCUCUGCGUGGCUGACUCGGACAAGGCCGACAAGCUCAAGCAGUCGCUGCCCCCGGGUGAGGAGCUCUGGCGCAGCCGGGUUUGGGGUCGGGCGGCCAGGGCGGCGGAGAUGCAGGCGGGUGCCACUGGCGCAAACUAGCCAGACGCGAACAGUUGCAAAACCGUCAUUAUCCAGCGGAAGCAUGGAUACCAGCCAUGACUUCGCCGUGGAGCUGGGCGAUGGAGCAACUCCGCAGUGGAGCGCUGGCUUUUGCGGCAACUGGAGCUAGCGUGCAUUCUCGCUAUGGGCUGUGCGGAAUGUUUAGGUUCGGAAUGGCGGAGGCAGGCGUGGAAUGACUCCGCGGGCCGCGACUUGUCGCGCCUGCCGGGUGCCUGGGCUCGGCCGGGAGCCUCGGCGCCUUCGGGCGCAGCCAGCCAGCCCAGCACGCAUGCUGCCAUCGGAGCUACACAGCGCGUUGGAGGGGAAGACCCCGACAAGGAGCGGGGAGCGCAGCGGGACCGGAAUGGCGCGGUCAGCUGCGGGCGGGGCGCAACAUACAGCUGCCUGAAUCACCCUGUUGCCCCUGCUGACGGCUCGCGCUCCCCCGUUUGCCCUUCCUCCUCUCGCAGGCCUGAACGUGACCGAGCUGUAAGCGGGAAGCGGAUGGAUGGAAUAGCAAAACCCAGGGAGUGAAUGUAACGCAGG
rnacentral:lncRNA from 1 species